rnacentral:rRNA from 1 species
AGAUGGCGACCGGCGCACGGGUGAGUAACGCGUAUCCAACCUGCCGAUAACUCGGGGAUAGCCUUUCGAAAGAAAGAUUAAUACCCGAUGGCAUAAUAGAACCGCAUGGUUUGAUUAUUAAAGAAUUUCGGUUAUCGAUGGGGAUGCGUUCCAUUAGGCAGUUGGUGGGGUAACGGCCCACCAAACCUUCGAUGGAUAGGGGUUCUGAGAGGAAGGUCCCCCACAUUGGAACUGAGACACGGUCCAA